UACUAUGGCCAUGCCACCCUGAAUUAGCUGGCUCCAGUCUGAUCCCGAAAGCUAAGCAGGGUUGGGCGUGGUUAGUACUUGGAUGGGAGACCACCUAGGAAGACCAGGUGCUAUAGGAG
rnacentral:rRNA from 1 species